UGUCUUAGGACUUGCAUUUUUUCCUGGAAAAUCCCCACUUCAAUAAAGAGACACAUAGAAAAGCAAUUCCAGCAAUAAAAAAAUUCAAAAACGAGUAAACAUUUAAUAAAAGGUUUUGUUUUUAUUUGUAAUGUGGGUGGCCAGUGGUGGGGUCCAGUGACCCCACUAGGCCAAUUGGGUCAAGUCUCUAGAGACUCGAAGGCAAAGAGGGAAACUUCCAACCCAUUUAACAAUGUUAGAGACGUAUGCAAGUGGGAAACGUGUGGCAUGUAUCCCAUGUCCUCUUUUUUCUCUUUCUAGAAGUCCGACUAAAAUCUUCAUUUUUAACUCUCCAAAGCCAUCCCUUCCAGAUUUAUACCACAAAAAAAGUUAAAAAUAUAUAUAUAUAUAUCAUAUAAAUAUGCCAUCCCUUCUAGAGAAAGCGGCUUUGUUUCACUCUCAGCAUCUUAUAUAAUAUGAAUAAAAAGACCCUUGGGUCGUUGACUCUGUGCUUAGAAGCAGGGCAACCCUCUAUCGGCCUUGGGAGAUCUUUUGUUAGAGCUAAAACAGAUAUGGGUUUUUCCACAAAGAUUUCUCUGCUCCUUUUGUUCAGUUUAGUGCUUAUUUCUUCAUCAGAAAGAUCUUCAGCUGUACAAGCAAGGCCUUUAAACUUACACCCACAAAAAUACUCGAAUAUAAUUGAGUCAUUGGGAGUUGUAUGCAAGUGUUGCGAUGAAACUGGAGGUGAGUGCACGAGUUCAUGGACCAAGCCGUGCUCUAAGCUCCAAUGUUUUCCAUGGAAACAACAUUAAUUAGUGUUUUUUUUUUUUUUUUUAAGAUUUUGUGUAUAUAUAAUACAAAUAUAUAUAUAUAUAUAUAUAUAUAUAUAUAUAUAUAUAACGAUGGUUUUUUCUUCUGAAUUAUGUGCGAUCUAGUUACCCCUUUGGUUGAUUUUGUAUAGCAUUGGGGAUUUGUUGAGAUAUGGUUUCUAUUAUGUGCAAGAAGGAUUUUUCUUGGUACUUCUCUAAUUUUUAUUGGAUCUUCAUUAAUUAUAUUAAGAUAUCUGUAAGCUAAGUGAAAAAGUAGGUUUUGAAUGGAAUAUUUGUUUGCUUGAGUGUCAAUUUUCUA